rnacentral:rRNA from 1 species
GAUGAACGCUAGCGGCAGGCUUAAUACAUGCAAGUCGAGGGGCAGCAUGAUUGUAGCAAUACAAUUGAUGGCGACCGGCAAACGGGUGCGGAACACGUACACAACCUUCCAACAAGUGGGGGAUAGCCCAGAGAAAUUUGGAUUAAUACCCCGUAACAUAGCGAUGUGGCAUCACAUUGCUAUUAUAGAUUUUUCGCUUGUUGAUGGGUGUGCGGCUGAUUAGAUAGUUGGCGGGGUAACGGCCCACCAAGUCUACGAUCAGUAGCUGAUGUGAGAGCAUGAUCAGCCACACGGGCACUGAGACACGGGCCCGACUCCUACGGGAGGCAGCAGUAAGGAAUAUUGGACAAUGGACGCAAGUCUGAACCAGCCAUGCCGCGUGAAGGAUUAAGGUCCUCUGGAUUGUAAACUGCUUUUGUCAGGGAAGAAAUCUUCUGGGCUAAUACCCCGGGAGGAUGACGGUACCUGAAGAAUAAGCACCGGCUAACUCCGUGCCAGCAGCCGCCGUAAUAC